rnacentral:lncRNA from 1 species
UCACACAUUCUACACUUAUGCGAAAAACAUAUUUCAAGGUAAAUGGAUUUCCAAAAGAAAAAAAUUGCCUUAUUUAUUUAGUUGGACUUUCAUUCGCUAAAAGUAACUUCAUACAUGGCAUACGAUGCACCUAGCUAUAUCUGGUUCCUUGGGGGAUGAAUAUCCUCGCAGAACGAGCAGUUCCACCCCUCGGGAAAACACGCGCCCGUCCCUUGUUACUCGAUUUGGUACUAUGUCUUGCACUGGUUGGCACCGCAUGACCCAUCCGUGAUGGCUGAAUUCUUCUUGUGGUUCGUCUUUGAUGUGGUAGAUUUUCCAUGCCUGAAAGUAAACACAUAUAAGCACACAUAAGAAAAGUAUUUUGGAAUGAACUAAGGAUACAUAUGUGCAAGCGAAAUGAAUUAAUUUGAUUCUUUGUGAGAAGCAUACCAGAUGAGGAUAUCACGAGCAUAAGGGUAAUAGUUGUGCACAAUACUUGGCUAAUCCUCAUUAUAGUUGUGGAUGGAAGUCGAUCUUGAUUGAGGGUUUG